UGGGGAAUAUUGGACAAUGGGCGAAAGCCUGAUCCAGCCAUGCCGCGUGUGUGAAGAAGGUCUUUUGGUUGUAAAGCACUUUAAGUGGGGAGGAAAAGCUUAUGGUUAAUACCCAUAAGCCCUGACGUUACCCACAGAAUAAGCACCGGCUAACUCUGUGCCAGCAGCCGCGGUAAUACAGAGGGUGCAAGCGUUAAUCGGAAUUACUGGGCGUAAAGCGCGCGUAGGUGGUUAUUUAAGUCAGAUGUGAAAGCCCCGGGCUUAACCUGGGAACUGCAUCUGAUACUGGAUAACUAGAGUAGGUGAGAGGGGAGUAGAAUUCCAGGUGUAGCGGUGAAAUGCGUAGAGAUCUGGAGGAAUACCGAUGGCGAAGGCAGCUCCCUGGCAUCAUACCGACACUGAGGUGCGAAAGCGUGGGUAGCAAACAGGAUUAGAUACCCUGGUAGUCCACGCCGUAAACGAUGUCUACCAGUCGUUGGGUCUUUUAAAGACUUAGUGACGCAGUUAACGCAAUAAGUAGACCGCCUGGGGAGUACGGCCGCAAGGUUA
rnacentral:rRNA from 1 species